UAAAAACACAAAACUCAAGGCAAUUCAAUUUGGCUGUAAAUGGAAGAACAGGCUCCAUUAUCAUCUCAUCUCCAUAACAGCUGUAAAUAGAAGAACAGGCUCUGUAUUGCUUCAUUAUCAUCUCAUCUCCAUAUAGAAGAACAGGCUCUGUAUUGCUACAUUAUCAUCUCAUCUCCCCCUGUAUGGGCAUUCUACUGUAGAAGCAUGGGGCGGCAGGGUAGCCUAGUGGUUAGAGCGUUGGACUAGUAACCGGAAGGUUGACCAGGUACAAAUCUGUCGUUCUGCCCCUGAACAGGCAGUUAACCCACUGUUCCUAGGCCGUCAUUGAAAAUGAGAAUUUGUUCUUAACUGAAUUGCCUAGUUAAAUAAAGGUUAAAAAAAUAAUAAUAAAAAAAGACAUGUAGUGACGAAUCCCCCUGUAUGGACAUUCUACUGUAGAAGGAUGACAUGUAGUGACGAAUCCCCCUGUAUGGACAUUCUACUGUAGAAGGAUGACACGUCGUGAGGAAUCCCCCUGUAUGGACAUUCUACCAUAGAAGGAUGACACAUAGUGAGGAAUCCCCCUGUAUGGACAUUCUACCGUAGAAGGAUGACACGUAGUGACGAAUCCCCCUGUAUGGACAUUCUACUGUAGAAGGAUGACACGUAGUGAGGAAUCCCCCUGUAUGGACAUUCUACCGUAGAAGGAUGACACGUAGUGAGGAAUCCCCCUGUAUGGACAUUCUACCGUAGAAGGAUGACACAUAGUGAGGAGGUAGUGAGGAAUCCCCCUGUAUGGACAUUCUACCGUAGAAGGAUGACACAUAGUGAGGAGGUAGUGAGGAAUCCCCCUGUAUGGACAUUCUACCGUAGAAGGAUGACACAUAGUGAGGAGGUAGUGAGGAAUCCCCCUGUAUGGACAUUCUACCGUAGAAGGAUGACACAUAGUGAGGAGGUAGUGAGGAAUCCCCCUGUAUGGACAUUCUACCGUAGAAGGAUGACACAUAGUGAGGAAGUAGUGAGGAAUCCCCCUGUAUGGACAUUCUACCGUAGAAGGAUGACACAUAGUGAGGAAGUAGUGAGGAAUCCCCCUGUAUGGACAUUCUACCGUAGAAGGAUGACACAUAGUGAGGAAGUAGUGAGGAAUCCCCCUGUAUGGACAUUCUACUGUAGAAGGAUGACACAUAGUGAGGAGGUAGUGAGGAAUCCCCCUGUAUGGACAUUCUACUGUAGAAGGAUGACACAUAGUGAGGAGGUAGUGAGGAAUCCCCCUGUAUGGACAUUCUAGUGAAGUUCUACAUUGAAUGUGUUGUUUUUUAAUGUCGGAACAGCGUGAGAU